rnacentral:rRNA from 1 species
UACGUAGGGUGCGAGCGUUAAUCGGAAUUACUGGGCGUAAAGCGUGCGCAGGCGGUUCGUUGUGUCGGUGGUGAAAUCCCCGGGCUUAACCUGGGAAUGGCCAUGGAAACUGGCGAACUGGAGUGCGGCAGAGGGGGGUGGAAUUCCGCGUGUAGCAGUGAAACGCGUAGAGAUGCGGAGGAACACCGAUGGCGAAGGCAGCCCCCUGGGCUAGCACUGACGCUCAGGCACGAAAGCGUGGGGAGCAAACAGG